rnacentral:rRNA from 1 species
GAUGAACGCUGGCGGCGUGCCUAAUACAUGCAAGUCGAGCGAACAGACGAGGAGCUUGCUCCUCUGACGUUAGCGGCGGACGGGUGAGUAACACGUGGAUAACCUACCUAUAAGACUGGGAUAACUUCGGGAAACCGGAGCUAAUACCGGAUAAUAUAUUGAACCGCAUGGUUCAAUAGUGAAAGACAGUUUUGCUGUCACUUAUAGAUGGAUCCGCGCCGCAUUAGCUAGUUGGUAAGGUAACGGCUUACCAAGGCGACGAUGCGUAGCCGACCUGAGAGGGUGAUCGGCCACACUGGAACUGAGACACGGUCCAGACUCCUACGGGAGGCAGCAGUAGGGAAUCUUCCGCAAUGGGCGAAAGCCUGACGGAGCAACGCCGCGUGAGUGAUGAAGGUCUUCGGAUCGUAAAACUCUGUUAUUAGGGAAGAACAAAUGUGUAAGUAACUAUGCACGUCUUGACGGUACCUAAUCAGAAAGCCACGGCUAACUACGUG